CCUCAGCACCGCCCCGCUGAGGGGAGAGGGGCGUGUCCUUCCGCCCGUCAUGGCGGCGGCGGGGCCGGCGCGGCUGGUGCGCUGCGGGCAGAAGGACGAGCUGUACCGGAGUGGGCUGCGGAGCGGGGCCGGCUCCGCGCUGCACGGGCUCGCGGGUGCCAAGAAGUGGCUGGAGUGGAGGAGGGAGAUCGAGCUGCUCUCUGACGUGGCCUAUUUCGUCCUCACCACUCUGUCAGGUUACCAGACUCUGGGUGAAGAGUAUGUUAACAUUGUUCAAGUUGACUCAACCAAGAAAAAGGUACCUGCUUUUCUUCGACGGGCCGUCUUCAUUGCUCUUCAUACCGUAGUACCCUAUUGCUUGGACAAGGGAUUAUCGCAUCUGGAACACGAGCUGCAGACAGAAGCUGAGGAGUCCAGAACCUCACAGGGCAACCCAGCGCUUGGCUCAUCCAGUAGGACGUUAAUACGAAACUGGGUACAGAAACAAGUUGGGAAGCUGACAGAGCAGCAGAAGAAAACAGUCUUACAAAUUGUGUAUGUUCUUAAGCAAAGCGUACCUUUGCUUCAUCGACUACAUCUGGCACUAUUCUACAUCAAUGGCACUUUUUAUCACCUCUCUAAAAGAAUCGCAGGAAUCACAUAUCUGCAUUUUGGAGGACCACAAGGAGAAGAUCAGAGUAUUCGAUCAAGUUACAAGUUUCUAGGAAUAAUUUCACUCUUCCAUCUUCUUCUAACAAUCGGAGUUCAGAUGUACAGCUUCAAGCAGAAGCAGAGAGCAAGGCAGGAAUGGAAACUGCACCGCAACCUAGCUCAUCACAAAAAUACGACGAUGGAAAAAUCUAGUGGGCGCCACUCCCGCUGCACUUUGUGUUUGGAGGAAAGGAGACAUACAACAGCCACACCUUGCGGGCACCUGUUCUGCUGGGAGUGCAUCACGGAGUGGUGUAACACCCGAACAGAAUGUCCACUGUGCAGAGAGAAGUUUCAUCCUCAGAAACUGAUCUACCUGCGUCACUACCAACUGUAAAGGAAAAAUGUAUUCUGUUUCAAGACAGCAGCCUCAACUCGCAACCCCUUUAUAAAGUUGUCAUACAGCUUGAGUUAGUCCAAGAAAAAACUUGAUUCUAAAACUGUGCCAUCAGAUGAAAAUCCUCAAGCAUUCGCAGUCUCCAUCCUGAAGCUGUGAGUUUAACACCAACAGAUGUCUUUGUUCUUCAGACCAAUUUACCUUCUGCCGUGUGCUGAUACCAUAGCUAAGCUCAACCAAGUUUUACAGUUCAAGAUAUAAACCAAACAAAAUCAAAUGGAUUCUAAACAGAAACAUCUUUGCCACAUCACCAAACCAAUCCCUGCCAUGACUUCCUGGAGUCCUCAGCGUGGGUGGGACCGCAGGACUCGGGUCAGCGGGAGUUCCUCGGCCCCGCACCGACACCUCGGGAGCCCCACGUGGUAAGACAGACACAGGAAAUAUCACUAAAUCAGAAAAACUUAAAUCACGGGCUGCAAAAAAUAAUCUGAGCCCAAGGGCAAUCUGGGGAGGCACAGAACCUUAAAGGUGGGUAUUUCUUAUGUAAACAUCUGAAAACUACAUCCUAUGGAACAACUCGUAAUUGGAAAAAAAAGGAGCCCUGCUACAUUUUAAAGGAGAAGGGGAUUCAUUACAAGGCUUCAGGAGCUGCAGCCCACUUUAAUUCAAGCUACAGCUAAAGAGAAAAAUCAAACAAAUUCAUACAAUACAGAUAGAGACUUUUUCAGUACAGGCAAAAGGAGAUAAUUGUUGUUCUCCCCAUUCGCUGCACUGCAGAAGAGAGAAGUUACUCAGCAUUAUUAGCUGAGCAUCAUUUUGUGCUUUAGUUUGGGUUUUUCUGAAAUGUCCUCAAGAAUAAAGCUGCAACAAAACGAUAUCAAACCUAUUGAUCAGAUAGCAAUUCUCUAAAGGUCAUGAACGUAACACCUUCCAUAUUCUCA